GGUGGCUCAGUGGUAGAGCUCUUGCCUUGCAUGCAUGAGGUCCUGGGUUCAAUUCCUCAGUACCA
rnacentral:tRNA from 1 species